rnacentral:tRNA from 1 species
AUACAAAGUAUACUUUAUGAUGGUUUUAAAUACUUUUUUGAGACCAUUGCUAGAUUUUUAGGUUAUCCA